UUUAUAGUAUAAUCUGCUCCAUGAAAAUUAAAUAGCCGCAAUUCGUGCUAAGGUAGCAUAAUCAUUUGUCUUUUAAAUAAAGACUAGAACAAAAGAUUUUAUAUUUAAAUAUUUUUAUUUAAUUUUAAAUUUUUAAAAUUAUCCUAAAUAUAAAAAGAUAUUUAUUAUUAAAAAAGACGACAAGACCCUAUUGAACUUAACUUAAGUUAAACUGGGGUAGUAAAUUAAUUAUUAUUUUACAUAUAAAAAUAUAAAUUAUCAUCCAUAAUUUAUGAAUAAUUCAGUUACCAUAGGGAUAACAGCACAAUUUUAUUUAAUAGUUCUUAUUUAAAAAAAAGAUUGUGACCUCGAUGUUGAAUUAAUAACCUAAUUACUAAAAGCAAACUUUAAAAAAGGAAGUCUGUUCGACUUUUAAAUAAUUACAUGAUUUGAGUUCAGACCGGUAUAAGCCAGGUCGGUUUCUAUCUUUUAUAUAAACUUUUACAGUACGAAAGGACCUAAAAAUUCAAUUUAAUUAUUUUAAUUGGCAGAAAAAUGCAUUAGAAUUAGAAUCUAAUAAAACU
rnacentral:rRNA from 1 species